rnacentral:tRNA from 2 species
GGGCUCGUGGUCUAGCCUGGAUAUGACGUCUGGCUUCGGACCAGAAGGUCGCGGGUUCGAAUCCUGCCGGGCCCA